rnacentral:lncRNA from 13 species
GGGCGGGCUGCGGAGGAGCCGCCGCUCGGGGGAGGGGGCAGCGCGGCCCCUAUAUCCGCCCCGCCCGGCCGCCGCCCCAGAACCCGCGGGGCCCGGCCCGAACGCGACCCCAGCGCCGGCCGGACCUCCCCGGAACCCGCACGCCCGACGGGACCCCCGAGCCCGGCGCGACCCCCGCGCCCGACGGGCCCCGCGGCGGAGCCGGCAGCGCAGGCGGUGCCCGGCGCUCCGGCCAUGGGCAGCGGGCAGCGGGCGGUGUGCGCGCUGCUGGCCGCCGCCCUGCUGGCCGCCCAGGCCUUCCCCCAGACCAACAUCAAGAUCAGCCAAGCCAUGCCCGAGCCUGUCCACGCCUACUCCUGCCCACUCUUCUGGACAGAGUACGAGGGUCACUGAUACCGGUACUUCCCCGUCAAUAAAACCUGGGCUGAAGCUGACCUCUACUGCGCCGAGUUCUCCAUUGGCAUCAGAUCAGCCAAGCUGGCCUCCAUCCACAGGUGAGGUGUGCAGAAACAUGUCAUCCCACACUGACACAGCCUGGGGAGGGAGGAAAUUGGGGGCAAAGUCCCAUUCCCUCAGCACAACCUCUGUGUGAGCUGCAGGCUCAUGUUCCAGCCUACAAAUCCCUCUGCAGCAGCGGCCCAGUCAAGUCUGGUGCACUGGUCACACAAAGGCGACAUAGAAAAUAAGUGCCUAUUCCUGGAUUGGCAGGAAAACUGGCAUAAUACUCCCUAAGUUUCCCCAAACUGUGUUUUUCACUCUUGAAAAAGGGAUAGAAGUACAACACAAUUACACAGGGUUUUUCCCUAUGCCCUCUCCCCCAGCUCUCACCAACACUACGCUCCUCUUGCACAGACCCAGGAAAGUAAUCGCCAGCGGUAAGAGGGGGACCCAUUUGGCCCCGGGUCCUGUGGUAGGGGGAACGCUUAGGGACACGCCUGACCAUUUGCUGACACAUCUCUUGAUGGCCCCGUAUCGCUCUGUUUGCCAGCUGGGAAGAAAACGUCUUUGUGUACGACCUGGUGAACAGCCGCGUGCCCGGCAUCCCCACCGACAUCUGGACGGGGCUCAACGACCUUCGGCAGGUGGGAACUCCCUGUAGCCAUGUGGGAAAUGGCUUUGAAAAAGUCACCUCUCUGUGUUUUCUUCUUUGUCCCUUAUACCCUCUUUAAUCAGGAGGUGGCACAGAGUCUGUGGUGCAGCACGGAGAGAAAGUUGUCAUUUCACCCAUUCCAGUCUGCUUUUAAAAGAGAAGUCUUACUAGAAUUAGUAGAUUAAUCAGUAAUUAUUCAUACCACGUUUUAUUACUGGAUUAACAGAAAGAGUAUUGUUCUGCUGGUCUAAGAAGAGCAAAUAAACUGAAAAGGUCUUCAGUGUCAAAAAUCACCAAAUUCCAUUGCCCUCUUGUGAUACUCUGUGACUUUUGAAAGCUGACAUGUUGGAAAUAUAUAGUCUAAUAUGUUAGAAAGAAAAAUGGAGACCAUCAGGAGAACAGUCUCUUGUCAGCAAAUUUUUUGUAGAUACUGGAAAAGGAAUGGAAAAUGAAGAGGACAAGGAACACAGAACUGGGUGGGGGUGUUAAAAAAUACAUAGAUUUAAUUUCUGGGCUUCCCCUGGUGAGAGCACUUCAAAAUCUGGGGCUGUUCUUGGCAAGUUUCCAGUUGUAAAACCCAAAGGAGCUGUUUGGCCUUUGCUGAGUGGUGACAGUCUCUCCCCAUGUCCCUGGGCUGUGUUUCACUGGGAAUGGGGUGGGGACUACAUGGGAGUAGGCCUCCCACCCUCUGCAGACGGCCUUUCUCCACUGGUCUCAUGCCAGGAGGGUCACUUUGAGUGGACAGAUGGCUCCUCCUACGACUACCACUACUGGGAUGGCAGCCAGCCUGACGAUGGGAUCCACUCCAUCCCGGAGGAGGAGGACUGCGUGCAGAUCUGGUACAGGCACAGCAGCGGUGAGUGCCCAGGGCACCCUCAGUGUUAUUUGCAUGUCAAUAAAUUCAAUCCACCGUGGCUCCUGCUUUUCUGAAGAGGUUGCUGGCAGGCAGAGGAUUUGCAUUUUAAUUUUUUAGUAUUAUUUUCUUUUUUCUUUACAGUGAAAAGGUGUAUUUUCCCUUUCACCAUGUACAUACAUGCACACAUACUCAUUUUCCCUCUGCUCCCAGCCCAUCUCCCUCUCCCAUAUUAGCAGCAGGACAGGAGCAUCAGCUGCCUUGAAGAAUUACCAAAUUUAGUCGAAGGUCAGAUUUUCCCAUUUCCCCUCCCACACGGGAAACCCGUGGAAACACUCAUUGGUUUGCCAGCUUUUCUCUCCCAUGCUGGGGCCAGGGCAUCUCCCUGAAGUGGGACAAGACCCUGCCUGUGCAAAAAUCCCAUUUCACCAGCCAGGUGUGUCCAGACCCCCCAGCUGUACCUGAAUGUCCUGUCCACGGGCAGCCUGCUGAUAAUUUUGGGGGUACAGGACUGCGUUUGCAGCUGCCCCUCCACUACCGAGUCCAAGCUGGGGCCCGGCCUCCCCUCCCACAUCCCCCAGAUGGGGAGGGGGAUGCUGGAAGGAAGCAUGACUGUGAGUGGCACAAAUGGGAGCACAUCCAGAGAAAGCCUCCCACAAUGGCAGGGGGUCCUGGUCCCAAGGGCAGUGCAGGGUUCCCUCCUUUUGCCUUUUUUCAGCUAAUGCCUUGUUUUUUGGGGGGUAGCACUGCGCUCCUGGAAUGACAACGCCUGUGGCAGAGCCUUCCCCUUCGUCUGCAAGAUUCCCUCACUGGCCCUGGACUGAGGCUGCUGGUGCUGCCCACACCCCCCUUCAUUUUGGGUCACCUCUCCAGCUGUGCCAGGCAAGAGCAGUCAGGGCAUGGCAUGGGUUGGGAGAGCCUUGGAGCUGCUUGGAUCCCCAGCCAGUCCCUGGCUGCAAAAUCCCUCCUGGGAGUGUGGUGGGGAUGAACCUGGCACUCAGCACUGACAGGAGCUACAUUCAACAGCAAAGGAGCCCCCAAGCCUGAGUCUGGCUUUGGAUUUCAGAUCGACUAUCACAGCGUGUUAGAGGAAGCCCAUGAUUUUACCAAUACACCAAACUGUUAGCACCCAAAAAUAGCCAUGUGUAGGAAAUGCUUUUGCCUGUUGAUCUGCAAAGAGUGGAGGAAAAGUGUUGUUUUCUGUUAAGUUAUGCAAAAUGCCUCUUGUCCAUGUUAUUUUCCUCUCUGCUAAAAUAAACGGCAAACAGCAGGUGGAGGCUCCGCUCUCUUUCUUGCACUGGAGUAGCAGUGACUCCCUGGGGACUUGGGGUUUCAUGUGGAAGAAGUUAUUUUUUCCCCAGCCUGCUCUGUAUUACAGAGGUGUGUUGAGGGGAAGCAGCUGCCU